rnacentral:tRNA from 2 species
CGGGACGUAGCGCAGCCCGGUAGCGCGUUUGCAUGGGGUGCAAGAGGCCGCUGGUUCGAAUCCAGUCGUCCCGACCA